CAGCCACCCACUCUCUAACCCGCUCACCCACCGCUGGAAGCCUGCAAUUAUGAAGCCUAAAACCAAAUAACCAAGAACAGCGACGAUGAGAGAAGAGAGCUGCUUCCCUCCUCUUUCUUAAUUUCGCUUUAUUUUUGGUCUUUUUGGAUUUUUUUUUCCUUUUUGGGCUUAUAAAUUCUGUACACAUGAAGUUUUUAUUGGAAUUCGUCUCGUGUUGCGGGGCCAGUGGCGGUGACAACUCCAAAAAGGAUACUCCGGGGCUGAACGGGCGGCGUUCGGAGGAGAAGCGGGCGCUGAUGGAGCGGCGAACACUGCAAACGCUUACGAGGAGAAGUAGGAGGAAGAGGGGCAGAGUAGGGUCAGCAUCUGCGUCGCCCGCGGCUGCGAUGGCUGAUUGGAAACCGACGCUUUGCUCGAUAUCUGAG
rnacentral:misc_RNA from 1 species